GCAAGUAGAGAUCCGAAUCGGAGUGAGUGAAGGCGGAGGUGACGUCAUCGAGUAUGCUGUUGGAGAAAGCGGGAGCCUGGGAUGUUUGAACUUCGGUGGUGGUUGUGCGGUUGAUUGUGAGUUUCGGAGGAGGAACGCUGAAAUGAGGAUAUGUUUGUGAUGCUUGGCUAAGAGGUUCUGGAGUUUGCGGUGAUCCGAGAAGAGUCUGGCACUCGGGUGGAGGUCUGAGCCGGUGUCGGAGAUGACGUCACCGGAGAUCUUGGAUGAGGAAACGGACUUUGAAGGACUUGCUGGGCGGCUGAAAGGGAUUCGUUUCUCCUGUAGAGAGCGUUGGAGGCGAGGAAUUGAGACUUAGAUGGGUUGAUGCGCCUGCGAUGCAGUGCUGAGGUGAGGAAGGGUUGGUGUUGUUUAGCUGAAAUGACUCUGGGAGACGGCGGUGGCCCGGAAGAACGAGCCUGAUGUCUGGUGUCUCUUGGCCUUUUGCGUUCGCUGAACUGGAAUAUUGGAUGUGAAGGGUGAACCUCGGACUGAUGUAGGAACGGCGCUGAUGAGGUGCGAGACAGAAGAUGAAAGAGAAUGCAGUGUUUGCUACUUGGAGCUUGUCUAAUUGCUGGAAGAGGAAAAGAAAUGUUCGCGGCAGAUGGAAUAUUGAAGAACAUCGUCUGAAUCUGAAGGGAAGAGCUGGGUAGCCACGUCGCUUUCAGAGAUCUACCCCUCCCGCCAAGCCCUUCACGGAUCACUUCUGUUCUGGAUUUCUAGACCCUGACCCAAGCUCUGCCUCACGACCACCGAUUAUCGCCUGCCUCUCAAGCUAAGUUUGCUCUCUCUGUCCUCCUGUGUAUGACCCCUGCCUGAUUAUCGACAAAGUCCCUGGGUGUUGCGUUUUGGAUCUCCUUAUGAAGAUCUUCAUUGCUUCCACAGACGCCUGUUUCACUGGCUUCCUGCACCUCCGUGUUGUCAGGCCCUCAGUUCCUCUGCUCCACCCGUCUACUGCUCUUCAGAUCAGUUAAGAUGAACAUUUCAAAGAUACCCCUCCUUUAUCUGUGAAUCACCAGCCUUCUCCCCUCUCUCCUCUGCUGUGUUUGACAACCUCUUCCUGAGCAGCAACCAGUAUCUGAAAAUAAAUUCAACUUGUUUUUUCCUUC